rnacentral:lncRNA from 1 species
UUUAGCAACCUGAGGUGGAGGGAGCAGAGCAGUGCUGGAGAGGGAGGAAAAGUGUAGUUGUGAUUAGGAAAUACCAGGAUUCCACCUCUUGGACAAUACUGUAAAACACAUAUACUCACUGUCUAUUUUCGGUAGGACAUUGUAUCUUGAGCUAUGGCACUCCACAUGUGCAGGAAAGUCAGGAUCAAGCCAGGAUGGUUCAGAAAGGAGCAAGAAACCCAGCACACAGCUGGAGUCAUCCUCAAUAAGUCCAACUGGAUUCCACUCUGAAAUCUCUCUUGAAAUGGAUUCUAUCAUUUGUUCAGAACCUGACUAUAACCUCCCACCUACAUCCAGGAGCCUGCAGACCUACCUUACUGUAAACUAACAAUUCUACACCAAAGCUUCUGCCAGUUUUCUUUCAAAAUUAACCAUCUUAUAGUUAUUCCCUUCUUAACCUCCUGAGACUCUCCACUGGUGAGAGCAAUGGUUCUCAACAUUUAUUUCUCCUGCCCAAAGAAUACUAACACAUUCCUAUCGAUGACUAUGGCUAAGGCAGGGUUCUCUGGCUGAGGUGGGAAACUGACCCUCCGCAAGGGGUGGCCGGGAUCUUGGGAGUGGUAUGUAAUCGGAAAAAUAGAGCUUCCUCCUAUGAGCACUUGAGAUCCUUCACAUUCUGAACCAACCUAUUUGCAGUGUUUGCAAGUUGCAUCGCCAGCCUCUUCCAUGUUGUUCCCAGUUCCCUGGCCAUCCUGGAGGACUGCACUCUUAGACCGGGUGGAAAUUUGCCUCUCUGUGCCUUUGCACAUGCAGUUCCCUCUGCCUGGAACUCCUCCAGCCACUAACUUAUCUUGCUGAGCUCUCUGAAAUGUCAACUUUUAUCGCUGAAGGAAAUGAUUGCCUUUCCACCUAUCCCUUCUCCUUUCCCUUCAGCAGGCCCGAUUCCUCCUCUGGGACCCUUUAGCACAAUGUCUGUCCUGUGGACACAUGCGUCACACUGAGCCACAGUUGUUCAUUCACCUUCCCUGAGACUGUAAGCAUCCUGAGAGCAGGGACCUGUCUCAUUCGCAUUUGCUGAGCUGAUGGCCACCUCAGUGCCCAGCAAGACUCAACACGGUAGAAAUGAGCUGAAAGAGAUGCCAAAACCAAUGUCCUGGGGGCUGCUGGUGACUGGAGCCAUUCUCCUUGCCCUCCUCUUCCACAAAGGUUUGGUCCAGCCUCAUGCUUUGGGGCUGCCCUGCAUCUCUUCACUGCCCUGAGCCUCCUCCUGUGCUCAGUCCUGACAGGGCGCUGUUACUGUGGCAGCAGUGAUUUACAACUGCAUUUAGCUGAAUCUAAUCAGAAGUGUGAAUACUCCCCUUCUAUCUGGCACACAUCAUCGGAGCUCUAAUUAUUCACACAUUUUGGCAAGCAUUCUGGUGUUCCCCUACCAAGCUCCUAAUCCCAGCAGAUCAGUUAAAAUAAAUGAAAGAGAGAAUCAAAAGGCACUUUAAAAAUUCAACUGUUCUCCAAAUGAGUUUGAACAGGCUCCAGUUAACUAGUAGUUGCAGCUGACUGGCAUUUAAAAUAUAAGAACCCUUCUGCCCACCAACCCCCCACCCAGUCCCUUCCUGCACCCUCUGCUUAUAAGAACAUGAUUCUCCCCCAUUUAAGAGAAACACUUGAGACCAGGCCCUGACAUGUUUUCAAUGAUCUGCAUUAAAAACCAGGAAAACAUAGUCACCACCCCAAAACCCAAUCAGUGCCAAAGCAAUUCUGCUUUUUCCACACAGGUAAUGCAAUACCAGCCCAGGACUGACGAUUACUACUUCCAGAAUGCACUAUUAAAGAGCUCCCCAAGUGCAGGAAGCCAUUAAGGCAAAAAUUAAAGCCACGUACCAACCUCAGAAUUCAAGAAGUUUUCAAAUACACACACACACAUGCAAUGACUAUGUGGCUCUGUGGAUUUCAAGAAGGCAAUGCAUGCAGGUUUCCACACUCCUUGAUCUUUCUGUUGGCCUGGACUUCUCUUCCCCAGAGAUCCUCAAAACUUGCUCCCUCAGCACCUUCAGAUCUUUGUUCCACUGUCACCCCUCAGUAACACCUCUUCCCACUUCUUCUCACUCCCGGCAUUCUGUCUACCCCUCUUCCUGCUUUCUUUCUCUCCUUGGCACUGAUCGCCACCUGACACAUGCGUUAUGUGUUUUACUCAUUCACUCACCAUUCCCUUGUACUCACAGCAUGUAGGGAUUCUUGACUAUUUGGACUAUUGCGGCUGGAGCAGUGUCUGAUGUGUAGCAGGUGCUCAGUAA